rnacentral:rRNA from 1 species
GACGAACGCUGGCGGCGUGCCUAAUACAUGCAAGUCGAACGCAGUGGCGGACGGGUGAGUAACGCGUAAUCAACCUGCCCUUCAGAGGGGGACAACAGUUGGAAACGACUGCUAAUACCGCAUACUGAAGGAGGGGAUUGCGUCUGAUUAGCUAGUUGGCGGGGUAAAGGCCCACCAAGGCGACGAUCAGUAGCGGGUCUGAGAGGAUGAUCGGCCACACUGGGACUGAGACACGGCCCAGACUCCUACGGGAGGCAGCAGUGGGGAAUUUUGGACAAUGGGCGCAAGCCUGAUCCAGCCAGGCCGCGUGUCUGAAGAAGGCCUUCGGGUUGUAAAGGACUUUUGUCAGGGAAGCGGUACCUGAAGAAUAAGCACCGGCUAACUACGUGCCAGCAGCCGCGGUAAUAC